GAAUGUUAUACUCCUUUUUGAAUUAUUCUAGCAGGCUUUCCAGUUUACAUGGAAAUUCUCU
ensembl:snRNA U7 U7 small nuclear RNA